UGGGGAAUAUUGGGCAAUGGACGCAAGUCUGACCCAGCAACGCCGCGUGAAGGAAGAAGGCUUUCGGGUUGUAAACUUCUUUUAAGGGGGAAGAGUAGAAGACGGUACCCCUUGAAUAAGCCACGGCUAACUACGUGCCAGCAGCCGCGGUAAUACGUAGGUGGCAAGCGUUGUCCGGAUUUACUGGGUGUAAAGGGCGUGCAGCCGGGCAGACAAGUCAGAUGUGAAAUCCUGAGGCUCAACCUCAGGACUGCAUUUGAAACUGUAUGUCUUGAGUAUCGGAGAGGUAAUCGGAAUUCCUAGUGUAGCGGUGAAAUGCGUAGAUAUUAGGAAGAACACCAGUGGCGAAGGCGGAUUACUGGACGACAACUGACGGUGAGGCGC
rnacentral:rRNA from 1 species